UACGUAGGGUGCAAGCGUUAAUCGGAAUUACUGGGCGUAAAGCGUGCGCAGGCGGUUUUGUAAGUCUGACGUGAAAUCCCCGGGCUCAACCUGGGAAUUGCGUUGGAGACUGCAAGGCUGGAGUCUGGCAGAGGGGGGUAGAAUUCCACGUGUAGCAGUGAAAUGCGUAGAGAUGUGGAGGAACACCGAUGGCGCAAGGGCAGCCCCCCUGGGUCAAGACUGACGCUCAUGCACGAAAGGCGUGGGGAGCAAACAGG
rnacentral:rRNA from 1 species